CCACGCGCGCGCCUCCCGCUACUCCGCCACCGACCCCAGAGAGCCCAGCCCGCUUCCCGGAUUGGCUGCCUGGAUGACAUCACGAGUCUCCCAUUGGCGGACUGCUUGACAGACGGCUCCGCCCCCCCACAGCUGAGGCGAAGAGCCUCGAGCGCGCCUAAUUUGAGAUUGCAGACAGCUGAGGCGGCUUUUGCUCGCUGCCUCAGGAGAAGGAACCCAAGGGAAGAAGAAGACUCGCCGAAGACCACCUCAGCUACGCUGCCAGACUCCUGGAAAGGAGCGCCUAGUGCCGAGGCGGUGGCAGGAACUAGGGGGCUUCAAGCUCCACGGCCACUUUGCCAUUGGAAAACCAACUAGGUCGAGGACAAGCCUCCGAGGCACUGCAAGGAAGGGCUCCAUGCCCAGCCUUGGCCUUUACUUCAACAAAAAAUUAUCUGAGGGAAGGCUGUCUUCAGGACAGUGCAAGGAAGGGCUCCAUGCCCAGCCUUGGACUUUGCCUCAACAAUAACAGGAAUAGUUUCUGAGGGAAGGCUGUCUUCAGGACAGUGCAAAGAAGGGCUCCAUGCCCAGCCUUGGACUUUGCCUCAACAAUAACAGGAAUAGUUUCUGAGGGAAGGCUGUCUUCAGGACAGUGCAAGGAAGGGCUUUAUGCUCAGCCUUGGACUUUGCCUCAACAAUAACAGGAAUAGUUUCUGAGGGAAGGCUGUCUUCAGGACAGUGCAAGGAAGGGCUCCAUGCCCAGCCUGGGACUUUGCCUCAACAAUAAUAGGAAUAGUUUCUGAGGGAAGGCUGUCUUCAGGACAGUGCAAGGACGGGCUUUAUGCUCAGCCUUGGACUCUACCUCAACAAUAAUACGAAUAGUUUCUGAGGGAAGGCUGUCUUCAGGACAGUGCAAGGAAGGGCUCCAUGCCCAGCCUGGGACUUUGCCUCAACAAUAACAGGAAUAGUUUCUGAGGGAAGGCUGUCUUCAGGACAGUCCAAAGAAGGGCUUUAUGCUCAGCCUUGGACUUUGCCUUAACAAUAAUAGGAAUAGUUUCUGAGGGAAGGCUGUCUUCAGGACAGUGCAAGGAAGGGCUCCAUGCCCAGCCUUGGACUUUGCCUCAACAAUAACAGGAAUAGUUUCUGAGGGAAGGCUGUCUUCAGGACAGUCCAAAGAAGGGCUUUAUGCUCAGCCUUGGACUUUGCCUUAACAAUAAUAGGAAUAGUUUCUGAGGGAAGGCUGUCUUCAGGACAGUGCAAGGAAGGGCUCCAUGCCCAGCCUGGGACUUUGCCUCAACAAUAACAGGAAUAGUUUCUGAGGGAAGGCUGUCUUCAGGACAGUCCAAAGAAGGGCUUUAUGCUCAGCCUUGGACUUUGCCUUAACAAUAAUAGGAAUAGUUUCUGAGGGAAGGCUGUCUUCAGGACAGUGCAAGGAAGGGCUCCAUGCCCAGCCUUGGACUUUGCCUCAACAAUAACAGGAAUAGUUUCUGAGGGAAGGCUGUCUUCAGGACAGUCCAAAGAAGGGCUUUAUGCUCAGCCUUGGACUUUGCCUUAACAAUAACAGGAAUAGUUUCUGAGGGAAGGCUGUCUUCAGGACAGUCCAAAGAAGGGCUUUAUGCUCAGCCUUGGACUUUGCCUUAACAAUAAUAGGAAUAGUUUCUGAGGGAAGGCUGUCUUCAGGACAGUGCAAGGAAGGGCUCCAUGCCCAGCCUUGGACUUUGCCUCAACAAUAACAGGAAUAGUUUCUGAGGGAAGGCUGUCUUCAGGACAGUCCAAAGAAGGGCUUUAUGCUCAGCCUUGGACUUUGCCUUAACAAUAAUAGGAAUAGUUUCUGAGGGAAGGCUGUCUUCAGGACAGUGCAAGGAAGGGCUCCAUGCCCAGCCUGGGACUUUGCCUCAACAAUAACAGGAAUAGUUUCUGAGGGAAGGCUGUCUUCAGGACAGUCCAAAGAAGGGCUUUAUGCUCAGCCUUGGACUUUGCCUUAACAAUAAUAGGAAUAGUUUCUGAGGGAAGGCUGUCUUCAGGACAGUGCAAGGAAGGGCUCCAUGCCCAGCCUUGGACUUUGCCUCAACAAUAACAGGAAUAGUUUCUGAGGGAAGGCUGUCUUCAGGACAGUCCAAAGAAGGGCUUUAUGCCCAGCCUGGAAUUUUACCUCAACAAUAACAGGAAUAGUUUCUGAGGGAAGGCUGUCUUCAGGACAGUCCAAAGAAGGGCUUUAUGCUCAGCCUUGGACUUUGCCUUAACAAUAAUAGGAAUAGUUUCUGAGGGAAGGCUGUCUUCAGGACAGUGCAAGGAAGGGCUCCAUGCCCAGCCUUGGACUUUGCCUCAACAAUAACAGGAAUAGUUUCUGAGGGAAGGCUGUCUUCAGGACAGUCCAAAGAAGGGCUUUAUGCCCAGCCUGGAAUUUUACCUCAACAAUAAUAGGAAUAGUUUCUGAGGGAAGGCUGUCUUCAGGACAGUGCAAGGACGGGCUUUAUGCUCAGCCUUGGACUUUGCCUUAACAAUAACAGGAAUAGUUUCUGAGGGAAGGCUGUCUUCAGGACAGUGCAAAGAAGGGCUUUAUGCUCAGCCUUGGACUUUACCUCAACAAUAAUAGUAAUCUCUGUUGCCUUAGGAAAAGGAGGAAACCACUUAAGCCCUGCUACUCUGUCAGAAAUUUUUUUUUUUAAAGUGCGAAUGUGGGCUUCAAGCCCCCUGCUAAAAAAAAAUCUCUGAGGGGAAAUGGAGUUCACCUCUCUGCUUGUGCUUCUUCUUGCCCCAAAUCCUCAACUCCCCUCUGAGGAUGCUGCAGCCGUGCUGACGUGUACAAAAGCCCUGCCACCUCAUUGCCCACAUUUAUCGCAUUUUGUCUGCAGAGGGUAAAACGCAACAGAUUCUCCCCGUCCUCAGAACGCUGGGGCGCCACAGUCUUCUGCAUCACGGUGAAAACCUGUCCACUAUUAGAGCUUUCUCUCUGCAUACUAAUGUUAUAACUGUGGACAGCGUAGGGCAGGACUUCUGAGCGCAACGGCACAGGGGCUGUAGCAGAGAAUCCCGUGAGGCCAGGGACUGUGUAACAACAGACUGGGCCAUUUUAGUCUGAGAAAACUCAGUGUGAUUUGAGACUGUCCAAAUGGUGUAGGCCUGAACCGGACCAAAGCCAUGUUACCUUUCAUAUAUUCUGUCUGUGUAAGGGGGGCCUAGGGGGUUCCUUAUAAGGAGUUGCUUUUCUGUGCCAAGGAGGGCCAGGAGAGACUAGAUAAGAAGGUGAUGAGGUAUUCACCUAAAAGAAUACAUGCGCAGAAGUUAGCUGGAAAUUUACAGAAAGUCCAGACAAAGGAAAAGGGCAGUACCUAUGCACUAUCUCCUAGGCUAUAAAUAUGUCAUGCUUGUAAAUGAUCGGGACGAGCUUGGACGAGCGAUAGCUGCCAAGACCUUUGCUACUAUAGAGCUAAGAAAGCCUUUUAAAUCCUUCUCGGCUGGUGAAGUGUUUGGCUACUGGCCCAGAAAAGAACCUCUCUUUGUUGGGGUACAACAAAAAGAAACCUGAGACUUCUUUAUUCUCCCGACAGCUGUGUAAGGCAGCAUAACUCCUAAGAUAGUGGCUGGCUUGAAUGGCACCCUUCAUGUGCAUUAGAAGCUUGAGGCUUCUAGAUUCUGCCAACACCUUUCUGAGGCAGCAUGAUCUCUAAUUUUGCAGUGGGCUUGAAUGGAACAUGCUUCAUGCAUGUGGGAAGCUCCAGGCUUCUAGAUUCUCUCAACUGAAGAAAAAAUACUCUUCUUAGCCUCUCAGAUUUGGUUUAAUGAGUCAUUAGUUUUUAUCUUUUUAUAUCUGUGAACUGCAAGAGCCAUCUAGGUGAGGCGGCAUAAAAACCUAAUACAUUACAGAGCUGUGGGAGGCAUCACAAUCUAUAAUAUGGUGGCUGGCUUGUAAGGAAGACGCUUCAUAUAUGUUAGAAAAAUCAGGUAUCUUUAUAAUUCUGCUAGCCAGCAUCUCUGAUUUAGGGGCUGACUUGAAUGAAUACACUUCAUGUGUGUUCUGUUCUACCCUCUCAACAAUGCUUUGUGGCAGUUCUGAGUAGUGCUUUUGGAACAUUUUCUCUUCCCAAGAGGCCUGAGUGACAGACUUCAAGAAACUACCAAAGGAGGCAACGUCUCAGAAGCUAAGAAGACAUGAAAGGAGCAAACAACACACACACAUAUACAUACAUAAACGUGCGCGCGCGCGCACACACACACACACACAGACGAAGCAUCAGGCUUCUUUAUUGUCCCAAGAAUAAUAAAUGUUCUCUGGGCAGUUCACAACACAACAUGGCAAAACAUCCAAUAAACACACAUACAACACUCCAGACAUAGCACACACACACACAUAGACGAAGCAUCAGGCUUCUUUAUUGUCCCAAGAGUAUUAAGUGUUCUCUGGGCAGCUCACAAGACAUUACAAAACAUCCAAGAAACACACAUACAACAUGACAGACAAAGCACAACACAAAACAGCUGUGGUGGGCAGCAUCACCUCUAAAAUAGUGACUGCCUUUAACAGAACAUGCUUCAUGCGUGUUAGAAGGUGCAGGCUUUUUUAUUCCCCCAAACACCUUUGGCUACAUAUACUCUAACAUGGUGGCUGCCUUUAAUGGAACAUGCUUCAUGCAUGUCCUAUUGUAGCCCCUCGACAAUGCUUCGUGGCAAAUUUGGCAAGAAGAAACCGAGUCGGUCCAUGUGUCCCAAUGACUACCGUGCCUGAGUUUGCUUCUGGACCAUUCCCUCCUCCCAAGAGGCCGACCUGGCAGAUUUCUCUUCUCCAGACUGCAAGAAAGAAGUAAAGGAGUCUCAAGAGAGAAUGAGAAGAGGCAACAACAUGCAAUAUAAGACAAACCAAGCGCUGCAUAAGCCAAGCCCUAGAAGACACUGGAUAUAGGGGCUCUCCACAGGAAUCCUUAUUCUCCCUCUUUCUUUAUCCUCCCACCAGCUUUGUCUGGCAUCAUCAUCUGAAAUGGUGGCUGUCCUGAAUCUAACAUCCUUCUUGCGUGUUGGAAGCUUCAGGCUUCUAUAUUCUCUCAAUGGAUUUAAGAUGGUGGCUGUCUUGAAUGGAACAUGCUUCAUGCGUGUUCCAUUCUGUCCCCUGAGCAACGGUUUGGCAAGAAGGAACAGAAUUGGUGCACUUUUCUCAAGGACCUCCAUGCCCGAGUGGUGAUGUUGAAAAGUUUUAUUAUUAUCCUAUUAUCCAAGAUUCAAUCCUUAGCAACCUCCUAAGGUUAUAAGUAAAUAAGAUAAGAAUUUGAUAUUUAGCACAAUUCAAAAUAAAUGACAUAACUUGCUCUUUUCCAACAGAUUUCAGGAAAGAAUGAAAGAAGGCGAUGACACACAAGCCAAGAAAGAACAGCAAGCAUCUCGGGCAGGAACGGAAGAAGGUAACGAGAAGUCAGCCUUGGGGCUGCAGAACUCAGGGCCCAGAAAUCACUACAUUUCAGGGGUUACCAACAGAAGCUUCAGGUUUCUUUAUUUUUUCCACAGCUGUGGGAGGCAGCAUAAACUCUAAGAUGGUGGCUCUCUUGAAUGGAACAUGCUUCAUGAGGGUUGCUUUCUGUCCUCUCAGUAAGCUUUUGUGGUAAGUUUUGGCACAAAGAAAGAAGAGUUGGCACAUGUCUCCUUACAACUUCCAUGCCCGGGUGCUGACGUUUGAAUGAAGAGGCCUCUGUGAUAGGUAAGGCUCAGAGACAGGGACCGGACCAAGGUGAAGAGCACACAGGUGAACAAAAAGAGAACUCUCAGGGAAUAAGGGCUGCCUAGUGUAAAAAUGAGUUUAAAAUGGCCCACAUUUGAAAAUAAAAGUUGUAUCUUGUUCUUUCCCCACAGAUUUCAAGCAACAGUGCAAGGAGGCUACAGAAGCUCAUAUGAGUAGGAACAUGCUUCAUGCAUAUUGCAUUCUAUCCUCAGAAAGUUCUGUGAGAUCUGGGGCUAUGUCACUCAAGGCUACUGGCUUGAGUUCCUUCAGUCUCUAAAAACUGUGAAUCCAGGAGCUGUAGAACUGAUGCUUCAUGUGUAUUCUCCCAACAGCUUUGUGAACCAUCAUGAUCUCUGAGAGGGUGGCUGGCUUGCAAGGAAAGGAACAUGCUUUGUGUGUGUUCCAUCUUAUCUUCCCAAGUAUGUUUUGCAGCAUGCCUGGCAGGAAGAAACAGAGUUCCCGCACACAUCGCAGGGAUCUCCAUUCCUGAGUGGUGAUUUUGGUUCAAAGACAGAGUUAAAAAGAUGGUGCACCUGAAAAACCGAGACAGUACCAAGGUAAAGAAAGACCAACAAAAAGGGAACUCUCAGGGUGUAAUAGAAAGGUGUGCCAAUGCCUUAAAUGACAAGGCUUCUCAUCAUUGUAGAAUGUAUACAAGAUCUAUAUAGUCAGUGGAUGACAAGCAGACUAACUUCCUCAAUAAUACCACUCAUGAGUAACUAAAGUAAGUUACUUUAGAGUAGACUAAUCCAGCUUCCUUUGGGUAAUUUUGAUGUCAUGUCAUCCAAUAUUUACUACAUUUUGAUUUUUGCAAGAUGGUUAAAAUGAAAGAACUUUGAGAAGUACAUUGCCCAAUACAUCUAAGAUUUAAUCCUUAGCAAACUUCUCUUAUUGCCUGCAAGAUGGGAGAUAUCCUGCUCUUCAAAAUAAAUGACAUAAAAUAUUCCUUUCCAACAGAUUUCAAGAAUGAAAGGAGGCAACAGUACAGAAGCCAUGUCUAGCAAAACCUUGUGAGCCCUUUUGGGUCAAAGAACCUUCUUCUUUUCUUACAUAAAUCACUUUGAGAACACCUUGUUGAAAAGUGUAAAUAUUUGUAAUCAUCAUCAUAAUUGUGCUAUCAAUUUAAGGCUUUCUUUCAGAUAAAUACCUAAGACACUGGCUGUAACCAGAGGCUUCAAGCAUGACUUUCUUAUUUGCUUGCUCUUCAGAGAGCCGUGGGAGGUAAGUUAGGUUGGAAUAUGUUUUGCUGACGAACUGUUAAUGCCUGAUAAAGAAAGAAAUAUACAAAUAAUUUUUCUAUCCUAUGCAUUCAAUACACUGCUGCUAAACCUAUCACUUCUAAAUGCAACCCUGUUCUACUUAAAUGGAAGGAAAAAACACCUGAAACACUACUAAAUGCAAAAUAAAAUAAAAUAAUAAGAAAUAAACCCACUACUAAAUGCAAAAGACUCCCAACCUCGCUAAUAAAUGCAAAACACAGAUAAGCACAAUAAAAAGAAUUAAACAAGAACCACAGAUAAAACAGACAUAACACAACAGCCAGGAUUAAAAACAUUAAAACGGGAAACCCAGAUACAAGCACUAUUAAAAUUACCAGAAAAUUACAAUAUUUGAAACUGUGAUUAGAGGAAAAGAAGAAUUUUUCUUUGGGCAAAUUUUCUGAGAUGGCUGCUUUGCGUGGGUAUAUUUUCAGUGGAUCUGAAAAAAUAGGAACACAGGAAGCUGCCAUAUACUGAGUCAGACCAUAGGUCCAUCUCGCUCAGUAUUGUCUACACAGACUGGCAGCGGCUUCUCCAAGGUUGCAGGCAGGAAUCUCUCUCAGCCCUGUCUUGGAGAUGCUGCCAGGGAUAUGCAACCAGGGUGGAUCCUGCUAAGCUUAAGGGGACAAGUCAUGCUUGCUACCACAAGACCAGCUCUCUUCUUUGUAAUGUUUGGAACUAACACUAAUAUUUAACACUUGCACACUUAAAGGAUAUUUUGUGGUGCAUUUUGAAUGUUGAUACAUAAAUCAGUUCCAAAGAAGCGAGAGUAAAUAUUAAUGUGUCUUCAGCUUUUUUUUUUUACCCCAGCAGGUUGAUCUAAAUGGAUUGUUAUGUGGAGUAUGGAUGAAUUCCUCAGAAAAUCAGAAGUGUAUAAAAAUGGCUAAUGUACAUAUUCAUGUUUAGAUCUUUUUUCCAGAUGUUCUUUCCCCCUAGCAGGUUGGUUUAUAUGCAUUGCUAUGUAAACUGGGGAUGAAUUUUGAUUUCAUGUGAAUAUCCUACCCCGGAGGGCAGACUGUUUAAAAAUGCCUGUCGGUAAUAUGUAUUGACCUACACUUAGAUGUUUUUAUUUGCUUAUAAGGAUGUUGGACGUACAAUUUCAAGCUGUGUAAACUUGUCUCUGUAGCUGCUUUUCUUCCCAAAAGAGACUCGUGUGGACAUAUUGCAAAUUAUUUUUACUGCAGUAUCAUAGGGAUGUAGGAGCUGAAGUCCUACGCUCAGGGUGAAGUGCUGGUAACCUCUUCCCUGUAGUUUCAGCAGUGGCUGCCAUGGGCAGUGAUGCUUCCUUGGUCUACGUUACUGACGGACAUGGACAGGGUCAUCUCCUAUUACUUGGAAAUUAUUCUCUUUGUGUUCUUUAUGUGAACAAUCUGUGGAUUUAAUACUCUGUAAAACAUUCAUGUGGAACCCGGGUUCUUCUUUUCUGUAAUGUGUAUUAAAUGUUUGGCCUAGUCAAAUGUUUGAAAGAAGUUAUUGUAAAAGACUGCCUUGGCUUCACCUUGUACACUUCUGCUGUUGCUAAACUUUUGGACAACCUCAUGGGUCUGACGUGCAACUCUCUGAUCGGAUGCAAAGAGAGAGAGGGUCCCUCUUCCGGUGGUGAAUCCUGAUCCUUGGGCUGCUCCAAAGAGAGCAAUACAUGACAGAAUUGGACUGAACUAAUUUCGUUUUUCUUUUUAAAGGGAGGACCCGUUAAUUAAAGAGUAGCAAGUUUUGUGCGGUUGGUUUCUGUCUGAGGGACACACUACUGGGUAAUUUCUGCCCUGAGCAAAGAUGGCGGCAUGAAGCCCUCCUGCGAUGUUGAGUGACAGUUAGAAAGCUGGAAGACGGAAGCUUGUUCAGUUGGGCCUUCUGUGAUAAAACCGGAAACAGAUGAGCGACAGAGAGAACUCGGAGUUCUAGCACCGUUAGGAAAGAGUAACCCGAGCUGGGUUACAGAGUGCAUUUCUGGCAUGCUUCAUAACUGCAAACCCAUGGACAUCGAAGAGUCACAGGCUAGGGCUGCAGAUGUCACUUUGAUUGGAAGCUCAUUGGGGCAAGGACCUUUAAAAAAAAAUCACACCAUUCUGCAAAGCAUCUUGUGCACAGG